rnacentral:tRNA from 1 species
GCCAGUGUAGCAUAGUGGUUUGAGCCUUGGACUAUGACUCUGGAGACCGGGGUUCGAUUCUCAGCUUGGCCA